AAGAAAGUAGUAAAGGGCGCAUGGCGGAUGCCUUGGCUCAUGGAGGCGAUGAAGGACGUGAUAAGCUGCGAUAAGCCCCGGGUAGGUGCAAAUAACCAUUGAUCCGGGGAUUUCCGAAUGGGACAACCCGGCCGUCUGAAGGACGGUCACUCAUCAACAGAUGAGGGCUAACCCAGGGAACUGAAACAUCUUAGUACCUGGAGGAAAAGAAAAUAAACAAUGAUUCCCCUAGUAGUGGCGAGCGAACGGGGACCAGCCCAAACCGCUGUUGUAGCAAUGCAUCAGCGGGGUAGUAGGACCACGCCGUGGUACUCUAGUCGUGAGCAGAAGCUUCUGGAAAGAAGCUCCGUAGAAGGUGAGAGACCUGUAUGCGAAGCGACGCGAGGCCUAGUGGUAUCCUGAGUAACGCGGGACACGAGGAAUCCUGCGCGAAUCCGCCGGGACCAUCCGGUAAGGCUAAACACUCCCAUGAGACCGAUAGCGAACCAGUACUGUGAAGGAAAGGUGAAAAGCACUCCGACAAGGAGAGUGAAAGAGAUCCUGAAACCAUGCGCCUACAAGCGGUCGGAGCUGCUGUGUGCAGUGACGGCGUGCCUUUUGCAUAAUGAACCUACGAGUUACCGUCACCGGCAAGGUUAAGGGCCUAAGGUCCCGAGCCGCAGUGAAAGCGAGCCUGAACAGGGCGUCAAGUCGGUGGGGGUAGACGCGAAACCAAGUGAUCUACACAUGGCCAGGUUGAAGUUCCGGUAACACGGAAUGGAGGACCGAACCAAUAAGCGUUGAAAAGCUUCUGGAUGAGCUGUGUGUAGGAGUGAAAGGCCAAUCAAACUUGGAGAUAGCUCGUACUCCCCGAAAGGCAUUUAGGUGCCGCGUGUGGUGGUCACCGUAAGAGGUAGAGCGACCGAUAGGAUGCGAGGGCUUCACCGCCUAUCAAGUCCUGACGAACUCCGAAUGCUUGCGGUCAGCAGCCAUGCAGUAAGGGGGCGGGUGCUAAGGUCCGUCCCCGAGAGGAGAAGAAUCCGGACCGCCGUCUAAGGCCCCGAAAUCCUGUCUGAGUUAGUCUAACGAAGUCUGGUCCCCGUGACAGCUAGGAUGUUGGCUUGGAAGCAGCCAUUCAUUCAAAGAGUGCGUAACAGCUCACUAGUCGAGGGUCCGGGCAUGGAUAAUAAUCGGGUAUAAGGCAGGUGCCGAAGGCGCGGGAUAGAAUUUAAGAAAGUAUCGGUAGGGGAGCAUACCAUGUGCGUCGAAUGGGAAGGGACGACCGACCCUGGAGCGCAUGGUAAAGCAAAUGUAGGUAUAAGUAACGAUAAGGAGGGUGAGAUCCCCUCCCGCCGCAAGACUAAGGUUUCCCGGGCAAUGUCAAUCACCCCGGGGUCAGUCGGGUCCUAAGCCUCAGCCGAACGGCGAGGGCGAUGGCAGAAACGGUCAACAUUCCGUUACUACCAUGUGGAGCGAUUGUGGAGACGGAGCAGUGAAACCGCCGCGGAGCUACGGAAUACUCCGUUGAAGGGCGUAGGCGCAGACGGGGGCAGGCAAAUCCACCCCCGGAGCCGACCCUGAAAGUACGGCAUCCCCCCCGGGGGAAGCCGAUAGCGCGGGUAAUCAUACUCCCGAGAAAAUCCGCUAAGCUUAAUCCAUAUGGUACCCGUACCGCAAACGGACACACGUAGUCGGGUAGAACAUACUGAGGCGUUGAGAGAUUCAUGGUUAAGGAACUAGGCAAACUGACCCCGUAACUGCGGGAUAAGGGGUCCUCGCGAG
rnacentral:rRNA from 1 species